rnacentral:rRNA from 1 species
GGCCUAACACAUGCAAGUCGAGCGGAAACGACUUAACUGAACCUUCGGGGAACGUUAAGGGCGUCGAGCGGCGGACGGGUGAGUAAUGCCUGGGAAAUUGCCCUGAUGUGGGGGAUAACCAUUGGAAACGAUGGCUAAUACCGCAUAAUAGCUUCGGCUCAAAGAGGGGGACCUUCGGGCCUCUCGCGUCAGGAUAUGCCCAGGUGGGAUUAGCUAGUUGGUGAGGUAAGGGCUCACCAAGGCGACGAUCCCUAGCUGGUCUGAGAGGAUGAUCAGCCACACUGGAACUGAGACACGGUCCAGACUCCUACGGGAGGCAGCAGUGGGGAAUAUUGCACAAUGGGCGCAAGCCUGAUGCAGCCAUGCCGCGUGUAUGAAGAAGGCCUUCGGGUUGUAAAGUACUUUCAGCAGUGAGGAAGGCGGGGAUGUUAAUAGCAUGCUCGUUUGACGUUAGCUGCAGAAGAAGCACCGGCUAACUCCGUGCCAGCAGCCGCGGUAAUACGGAGGGUGCGAGCGUUAAUCGGAAUUACUGGGCGUAAAGCGCAUGCAGGUGGUUUGUUAAGUCAGAUGUGAAAGCCCGGGGCUCAACCUCGGAAUUGCAUUUGAAACUGGCAGACUAGAGUACUGUAGAGGGGGGUAGAAUUUCAGGUGUAGCGGUGAAAUGCGUAGAGAUCUGAAGGAAUACCGGUGGCGAAGGCGGCCCCCUGGACAGAUACUGACACUCAGAUGCGAAAGCGUGGGGAGCAAACAGGAUUAGAUACCCUGGUAGUCCACGCCGUAAACGAUGUCUACUUGGAGGUUGUGGCCUUGAGCCGUGGCUUUCGGAGCUAACGCGUUAAGUAGACCGCCUGGGGAGUACGGUCGCAAGAUUAAAACUCAAAUGAAUUGACGGGGGCCCGCACAAGCGGUGGAGCAUGUGGGUUUAAUUCGAUGCAACGCGAAG